UACGGAGGAUCCAAGCGUUAUCCGGAAUCAUUGGGUUUAAAGGGUCCGUAGGCGGUUUGGUAAGUCAGUGGUGAAAGCCCAUCGCUCAACGGUGGAACGGCCAUUGAUACUGCCAGACUUGAAUUAUUAGGAAGUAACUAGAAUAUGUAGUGAUAGCGGUGAAAUGCUUAGAGAUUACAUGGAAUACCAAUUGCGAAGGCAGGUUACUACUAAUGGAUUGACGCUGAUGGACGAAAGCGUGGGUAGCGAACAGG
rnacentral:rRNA from 1 species